UUGACGAGUCGUCUUUUAGAUGACGAAGUGGUUGAUGCCAUGCUUCCAAGAAAAGCUUCUAAGCUUCAGGUAACCAGGAACCGUACCCCAAACCGACACAGGUGGUCGGGUAGAGGAUACCAAGGCGCUUGAGAGAACUCGGGUGAAGGAACUAGGCAAAAUGGCACCGUAACUUCGGGAGAAGGUGCGCCGGCUAGGGUGAAGGAUUUACUCCGUAAGCUCUGGCUGGUCGAAGAUACCAGGCCGCUGCGACUGUUUAUUAAAAACACAGCACUCUGCAAACACGAAAGUGGACGUAUAGGGUGUGACGCCUGCCCGGUGCCGGAAGGUUAAUUGAUGGGGUUAGCGCAAGCGAAGCUCUUGAUCGAAGCCCCGGUAAACGGCGGCCGUAACAAUAACGGUCCUAAGGUAGCGAAAUUCCUUGUCGGGUAAGUUCCGACCUGCACGAAUGGCGUAACGAUGGCGGCGCUGUCUCCACCCGAGACUCAGUGAAAUUGAAAUCGCUGUGAAGAUGCAGUGUAUCCGCGGCUAGACGGGAAGACCCCGUGAACCUUUACUGUAGCUUUGCACUGGACUUUGAGCCUGCUUGUGUAGGAUAGGUGGGAGGCUUUGAAGCGUGGACGCCAGUUCGCGUGGAGCCAUCCUUGAAAUACCACCCUGGCAUGCUUGAGGUUCUAACUCUGGUCCGUAAUCCGGAUCGAGGACAGUGUAUGGUGGGCAGUUUGACUGGGGCGGUCUCCUCCUAAAGAGUAACGGAGGAGUACGAAGGUGCGCUCAGACCGGUCGGAAAUCGGUCGCAGAGUAUAAAGGCAAUAGCGCGCUUGACUGCGAGACAGACACGUCGAGCAGGUACGAAAGUAGGUCUUAGUGAUCCGGUGGUUCUGUAUGGAAGGGCCAUCGCUCAACGGAUAAAAGGUACUCCGGGAUAACAGGCUGAUACCGCCCAAGAGUUCAUAUCGACGGCGGUGUUUGGCACCUCGAUGUCGGCUCAUCACAUCCUGGGGCUGAAGCCGGUCCCAAGGGUAUGGCUGUUCGCCAUUUAAAGUGGUACGCGAGCUGGGUUUAGAACGUCGUGAGACAGUUCGGUCCCUAUCUGCCGUGGACGUUUGAGAUUUGAGAGGGGCUGCUCCUAGUACGAGAGGACCGGAGUGGACGAACCUCUGGUGUUCCGGUUGUCACGCCAGUGGCAUUGCCGGGUAGCUAUGUUCGGAAAAGAUAACCGCUGAAAGCAUCUAAGCGGGAAACUUGCCUCAAGAUGAGAUCUCACUGGGAACUUGAUUCCCCUGAAGGGCCGUCGAAGACUACGACGUUGAUAGGCUGGGUGUGUAAGCGUUGUGAGGCGUUGAGCUAACCAG
rnacentral:rRNA from 1 species